rnacentral:rRNA from 1 species
UACCAGCACCCCGAGUGAUCGGGACGAUUAUUGGGCCUAAAGCAUCCGUAGCCGGCCUUACAAGUCCUCCGUUAAAUCCAGCUGCUUAACAGAUGGGCUGCGGAGGAUACUAUAAGACUAGGAGGCAGGAGAGGCAAGCGGUACUCAGUGGGUAGGGGUAAAAUCCGUUGAUCCAUUGAAGACCACCAGUGGCGAAGGCGGCUUGCCAGAAUGCGCUCGACGGUGAGGGAUGAAAGCUGGGGGAGCAAACCGG